UUCCAGACUCCUACGGGAGGCAGCAGUGGGGAAUAUUGCACAAUGGGGGGAACCCUGAUGCAGCGACGCCGCGUGAGUGAAGAAGUAUUUCGGUAUGUAAAGCUCUAUCAGCAGGGAAGAUAAUGACGGUACCUGACUAAGAAGCCCCGGCUAACUACGUGCCAGCAGCCGCGGUAAUACGUAGGGGGCAAGCGUUAUCCGGAUUUACUGGGUGUAAAGGGUGCGUAGGUGGCAGGGCAAGUCAGAUGUGAAAGCCCGGGGCCCAACCCCGGUACUGCAUUUGAAACUGUCCGGCUGGAGUGCAGGAGAGGUAAGCGGAAUUCCUAGUGUAGCGGUGAAAUGCGUAGAUAUUAGGAGGAACACCAGUGGCGAAGGCGGCCUGCUGGACUGUAACUGACGUUGAGGCUCGAAAGCGUGGGGAGCAAACAGGAUUAGAUACCCUCGUAC
rnacentral:rRNA from 1 species